AGGAGUCACUCACCCAGGAUACACCCACAUGUUGGAUUUCAACACUUUAGAUGAUAAAGCAUAUCCCACUGAAAGCAAAACUGGCCUGAGAGAAGCACAACUUAGCUACGCUAACCUCAGCUGAAUAUGACAGGCUAGCAAAGUUGGAAACACUGCUGGAGCCAUGCAGGAGGAAUCGACACUACCCAAAGAAAACCCAUGCAGACACAGGGAGAACAUGCGGACUCCAGAAGAGUGCAAGCAGUUUACCUCUUUAUGAAUGGGACUAAAGAUCAGAGACCAGCUGCGAUGUUAAGGUUACGUCAUGGAAGGUGCACCUGCUGCUGUAGACUACUUUUCUACAGGGUGGGAUCUUUAUAACAAUUCUCUUCAGUUAAAUCGUCAUCAGGACCGAGUGAGGGCAAGAAACAUGGUACAUUAUACGACAAGUCCUCCAAGUGAAAUGACAGAAUACCUCCUUUGUCCAUGCCCUCCGUUCACAGAUGGGUUUGCUGAUUUGACGUCCCGAUUGGCGGCAUAGUUGGAGCCACGAUGAAUGGCAACCCCUUGUUCUCCCUCUUGAAAUGACAACCGCAGAAUAUCAAACGCCAAUUAAAGAGGAGACAGGCUCGGCGGGAGGAGUGGCAUCUAAUUCUCAUCAAUGUGAUCGGUGGAGGGAAAGGAAAAACAGCAGCGAGAAGGGUCACUUUGAGAGGGUGAUCUGGCCAUUCUGAGAUAUUAAAAGGGAAAGGCGGUGCGCAGGUGCUAACAGAGGCAAUAUUCGAGCUGCUGGGACUAAAUGAGAAGUGAAAAGUCUCCGAAAUCUGGUGGCAGAAACGGGUGAACUCCAGUUUGUUCUGUGUGUACGUGGCUGUGUGCUGUUUAUGUAGCUUGCUCUGUGCAAGGCCAUUUUUUUUUUCAGACUGAGCAUAUUAUGGCCGGGCUUUAGAGGAGGCUCAGCACUCAGGGUUUAGUUACAUGGAUUUGGAUAAUGCUGCGGUGUGGAUUAACUCAACAAGGAGUAGUUCCAUCAAAAUUUGCUCCCAGCAACGCCAGUUGUCUCUCGCUGGCGAACGUCACCAAUGGCCUACACCCAAGAGACAUCUGGAAUUUUUUUGUUAUGACUACAGGGUCACUUUUUGGAUUGGUUGGGUCACUGGUUCAUGCUGUUGUAACAUUUACUAUGUGAAAGUAUCUAUGCUAAACUAAGCCAAUGACCUACCGUUCCACUACCAUCCUUAAAAGACAGACACAGUACCUUACAGAGCUGUCAUAUAUAGAUAUAUAAAUAUUUGAUUGGACACUGCUUGGAUGUAUCAGACAAAACCUGACAUUCAGCUGUGAAUGAGAAAUGUUUGUAACUGCUUCCUGUUCCUGUGCAUGUCCAGUGUACAUGUCAGUAUGGAGUGAGAGUACUUCUGAUACGGUCCUAAAAAAGCUCAAAUGAAUAAGUUGUUUUAUUGUUGUAGCUUCAUAAGACAUUUAGAGGUUGUCUGGGAUGCAAGUGGCCAUAUUCAUAUCUGUGUGAACACAAAUGUUUCAUAUUGAGGACCACCUACUCAGCUGACAUCUUCUGACCUGCUACAGUUUCACAAUGAGCCAAAAUAAUUUCCACACUUCACAGUAUUUCAUAAACACUGAUUCAUUUGUGACCUCUGACACAACAUUUUAAGUUCUCUCUCUGUUUAACACUCACUCAAACUCAACCAAAUAGACACACUGACGAGACAACAAAUGACCUAUGUUUUUAUUUGCAUAUAGAGUGUGGAAGUAACCGAAUCCAAGAUAUUCUAAUUCUACUUGUCAAGCUGUCACCUUGUCAUCAGAUCACUGGAUGCAUGUUAAUACCAGGUCUCAGCAGGGCCUGAGACCUUGAAGUUAGUCUUGAAGGAAGAUUUAUGGCCAUAGCUUGUUGCCUCUGACUGGAGUUCACCAAAGUUCACUGUUGACUUCUUCAGUGUCAUAAUGAGGAGACAAACUUUUUCAAACCAUUAUCAAGUCUUUAACCGAUAUUAAAGCAGACAUUGCAGGAAAAAUAAUGAAAUAUGUUAAAAUUGAUGUUUUUUGGCACAUUAAUUCUACUCUGUAGAAAUUAUGAAGGAUAUAAGGAGAUCAUUUUAGCGAUUAUUAAAAAAAGCAAAACAAAAUACAGCAAACAAACCAGAUGUGAUUUAGUUGCCGGUUCUUACACAAUGUAUUGAUGUUUUUGUUUGAGAUUUUAAGAGGUUAAACAAGGUGCAGACAGAGAAAGUCUGAUAAGAAGACAGCACUUGUGUAAGGAUUGACUGAGAUCAGAUGUAAGUCUACCAUGGAUUAUAUCUGUGUAUCUCUGUAUUCGAUGCUCUUAUCUGACACCAGGGGGAAAAAAAAUUCACUCAGACUUUCUGGUUUGCUUCUUCUUAAUCAAUUCUAUUUAUUGGUUUAUGAACAUGCAAUUAUCAAUUAUGCUAUGGCUUGCAAAACAAUGAGCGUAAUACACAGAUACAAGAUUAUAGUGAUACAGAAGCCAAUUUAAUUGGUAAAAGAAUGGCAAGACACGUAAGAUUGUGUUGGAUUCAUAUAUAGUAAUUAAUCAUUUCUACAGAUUUUGAGAACCUGGAGUUUCCAGCUUCUCCCUGUCUGUCCCUUGACCAUAGGUGCGAAGGUGAGGGUGAAUGGUUUCUUGAUUCUGUAUUAUUGCCCUGUGAUACACUGGGUGUCCUCCUGUCCAGGUAGUAGCUCUCCCCAACAAUUAGCCAGGACAGGCACCAGCUCCCCCUGUGACCCUCCAAGGACUGAUGGAUGGAUGGACUUGGAACCUGGUGUCCGUGUAAUUGAGAAAGGUCUGUCAUCUUUCGAGUCAGACUUUUCUGAGGGGGUUUCACACUUUUCCGAUCGAUUAAAACUAACAUAAGAAUUGUAGGUGUGUAGUGAUCUUACAUUUGGUUCCAUGUGUAAUAAUUAUUUUCAAUUUAAAUGAUUUGUUUUCCAAACCAGCUCAUGUUUUUUUUACUAUUAAUCCUUUUACAUCCCAGCAUCACUGAGGGCUAAUGAGUUCCCAAUAUAAACCACUGCAUUCUAAAUCAUGUUCUCUGAAUUGAAAACAAGUUCAUUGUAGAAAGCCCUGUCUAUUACAGGUGUUCAUUUUAUUUCUAUCAGCUGCACCUACAACAACCUUCUGACUCAGUAUUUUAUCUCAUAUAAGAGGUUUUGCAAUAAAGUGGAUUAGAUAUUAUAAGAUGUUAUAAAUAUGAGACAAAGAACUUGUUUUGGAUGAAUUAGUUCAGGUAAUUGGAUUUGACAUGGUGCCUAAAAAUGGUUUGAUGGUGUUUGCUUUAUUGCACUGUAGCCUCUAGUAGGAUAGUCACAUCUCUGUGAUGAACCUAAUGGUUGUAUGUUGUUGUUACUCGAAGGAAUGAAAAUAACAUCCAAGUUAAAAAAAAUUGUUAUAAUUCUAGUUUGGGGAUAUUGCAUUUGUUACGUGAUCCUCUCAGGUGUAAUUCAGUCCAUUUUGGAUCAUUAGUCUCUGUGAAGUGCUGAAACAUCCAUUUGUGAUCAGACAGUGAGAAUAAAGAGUGCUUAGUUCCAACAGACAUGUCCUGACUCUGGCUCGUGAACUCAGUGAAACGUGAAUGAUGACACAUUGCAGGAUGGUUGCAGGGCGAUUUGCGGUUAAUCAUCGACCUGAUUAGCCACUGGCCCUAAGGUCUAUAGCUCAUCUCGUUAAAAUUAUAACAUAAUAGAAUAUGAAUGUGGACGUACACCAAGGCAAUUUCCUCUUCCAUCCAUAACUGUGAAAGUAGCAUGAAUCAUUAGUGGGUUGAAAGCCUGGCGGUAUGAAGCAGCCUAAGGCCAAUGCAAUAGUUUCAGUUCAUGUUCUAGACCAGAAGCUAAAGUAAAGCUCCUCUGCUACAGGCUGUCCUGGAGCUAUGGAAUACCUUCAGUUACAAUGAAAAUGGGUAGAUGCAGUUUGACCUUUACAACAACAGAAAAUGCCAAAAUACAUCAGUUUAUAAUAAAAAAAGCAAAAAACUCAUAAAUCCUCACCCUAAAGUACAAACAUUAUAUUUGGCAUUUUCUACAUGCGUGAUUGUCCAGUGGAGUUGCAAAAUAAUCAGAGGUUUUGUGAGAUAAUAAGAAAAUAAUUUUGUGUGUGCCUGUAUGUUUUAAUAAAGGCAAAAUGUAAAAUGUCUUCCGUUGUGCUGCUCUAAGGUCAGAAAUACAAGGGCUGCAAGUUGUUGUAUUUUGCAUUUUAAAAGAUGAGCCUUUCCCUCACUGUCAACAAAUCCAAUGAAAAGACCAAACCAAUAAUAUACUAGUCUGUCUUUCCAUGCAAGGGUUUAACCGUUAAAAGUCUAAAUAGAGACAAUUUCCUCCAGAACAUCAACAUGUCUAACUAGCAUUAUGAUUCAGUGCAACAUAUAUUCAAAUAUUACCUGUAAUCUGUUUAGUCCAAAAAAGUAUGAUGCAAUAAUAUUUUAACAAUGUUUACUGUCAGUUUUGUCAUUCAAGUAGAGGGAUUAUCAGUCUUAGAAGAAAAAUAAUUAAAUUAACUCAGUUUAGUUUCCCUUUUUCUCCUUUCGGUUCAACACAUCUUAACGACAUGAUAACACCUUCUUAUCUUUUCACGUGAGAUCAUUUAAAAUGCAUGCAACAGUUCUGUAAGGCUCCCGGGCCACUAACCAGGACCGUAAAUGCUAGAAAAUCAGCGCUGGUCAAAAUAAAAAUGCUCUUUUUGAAAUUGGAUUAUUCUCAAUGAUUUAUUGGUUAUAGUUCCUGGUCCACAUGCGACACGUCUUUUGGGCAGCAGGAUCUUAUAUGUGGGAUGAAGUAAAUUAACAACAACAACAAUAAUGAGACCUAUUUGCACAGAGGAGUAAAGCAUGUUGGUAACUAGGAAUGUCAAUGUGUGGAAAUGUUCCCACUGUGACAAACUCAUGUAAUGGAUCGUGGUGGCAGCUGAUGUGGCAGCUGAUAGAUUACGAUUACAACUAGAGUGUUAAAAUAUAACACAACUCUAAUUAAAAUUCUCAUUACUGCUCCCUUCAUCUCUGCCAGACUUUUUGGGGAUAUAUUCUUUAAACAUUGAUGAACCUCUCCAUUUAUUUGAAACACUGUCUCUUCUCAUCGAUGUUGUAAUUUUUUGACGUGUCAGCACCUAUUACAAUUCUGUCCACCGGAGAGGGAUCCCUCACAUGUGACUCCUACUAAGGUUUCUGACAUUUUUACCCUGCUAAAACGUUUUUUUAUUUUAGUUUUAUCUUUCUCUUGCCAGGAUGUUUUACGCCCUAUGAAACAAAUUGUGAUUUGUGAAAAUGGUCAAUACAAAUAAAAUGUUAUUGAUUAA